CUUGGGUAAGCUAUUUAACCACUUUAAUCAAUUUCUUCAUAUGUUUAAAGGGGACGGUAAUAAAUUUCAAAAAGUUUUUAAAAGAUUAGUUGAGAUUAUGCAUGUUAAUAUUUUAGAGCAUAUCAAACACUCAAUAAUACCAGCCAGUAUUAACAUUUAUUAAUGUAAGUAGCAUAUCAGUUUAACCUUCAACCUUUGGAUACAUUAAUUUUUCAAACUUUAAAUGUGAAAACAUUUUGUACAAAUUAAAUAUUGUAUUUGAUAGACAUGUGAAAUAGUACUCUAACAUACUGUUGUUUUCUGAUUGAGUAUAAAGUUAAUUUAGUUAACUAAUCCUUCUCAUGUAUGAUGUAUUACGUUGCUGCUGGGAAUGCUUUUACUUUUCAAAACAUCGAUCUUUUGGUUGUUUGCUUUCCUUGGAAGUAAAUUAUGGGACAAGGAGGGCAUUUAUGCCUGUGAUAGAGGAUAUUUCCCAGUGGCCUCUCUACCACUAACUCUUGUUUCCCUUGAUCUUUACUUUUCCCUUAUUCAGAUUUUGUUAAUAUUUAUUUUCUACCACUUUGUACCAAUUUAUUUUGCACAUUAGUGUAUCUAUACACUAACUUGAUUCAGAUUUUAAAAGUUUUAGAAAGAUUAAAAAUUUACUGUGAUUAUCCAUUUGAAUAUGCUAGAACUGAAAUAUUCAUUUCCUGAUGCCACUUAAGUUGGGGUAUGAUCAUGCUAUGCAAUACUAAAUAACUGGAUGAAAACGGCAAUCAACCAUCCUUAGAGCUGGCAACCUGUUUGGUCCAGUGUAACUCACUCUUCAAGAUAGCUUCCAGAAAGCUGUGUAUAUAAAAUUAAGUGAAUGUAGAUGGAUGUUCUUAGAUUUUUAUAAUACCAAAAUCUCGUUUUUUAUGCCUUUCCUUGUAUUUCUUUUUGUUUUACAAUAUAUCUCUUUGACUUGUCAUUGCUUUGACAAUGUAUCUGUCUUUUUCUCUAUGUAUUUAUCUUUUUAAUUAUUUUAUCACGGGGAGUGAUGUAAAUCAUUACACUUUGCACAUAGACUACACAAUGGGAUAACGAUUAAAAAUUUCUACCCUGAUUAGAGUGUUGACAGAAAACAAUCCCACCUCUUUCAGGAAUUCUACACACUCUAGUUGUUGGUAAUAUGUGAAAAUGAAAUCAGCAGAAGGAAAGGAAAGUGUUGGCCACUGGACUUUAGAGUUGUGAUUCCAACUGA
rnacentral:lncRNA from 1 species